UAGUGGUCCCGCGAGGCCAACACCCUCAUCCUCACACUCGGAAGAAUACGUCCCUCGGGCCAAAUCAUAGCUAGCCGUCUCGCAUAGUUGCAUAGAGAGGGCCUCACCUAUCACUCCCAUUCUAUCUUAUGCUUUAAAUUGCCACCGAGAGGCCAACACCCCGCCACAACGGUCGGUGGCCUCAUACUUUCCCCUCGGGCCCAAGCAUAGGUAG